rnacentral:rRNA from 1 species
CGUCACAGACUAUGACGUUGAUAGGACGCAGGUGUACAGGCAGCGAUGUCACAGCCGAGCGUUACUAAUUGCCCGUCCGCUUUUUUG